UACAGAGGUCCCAAGCGUUGUUCGGAUUCAUUGGGCGUAAAGGGUGCGUAGGUGGCGCCGUAAGUCGGGUGUGAAAUUUCGGAGCUUAACUCCGAAACUGCAUUCGAUACUGGCGUGCUUGAGGACUGGAGAGGAGACUGGAAUUCAUGGUGUAGCAGUGAAAUGCGUAGAUAUUGGGAAGAACACCGGUGGCGAAGGCGGCGACCUGGUCCGUGACUGACGCUGAGGCGCGAAAGCGUGGGGAGCAAACAGG
rnacentral:rRNA from 1 species